rnacentral:SRP_RNA from 2 species
GCCAGGGGUGGUGGUGCACCCCUGUAAUCCCAGCUACUUGGGAGGCUGAGGUAGGAGAAUCACUUGAACCUGGGAGGCAGAGGUUGCAGUGAGCUGAGAUCAAGCCACUGCAUUCCAGCCUGGGUGACAAAGUGAGACUCCGUCUCAA